UAAGGAAUAUUGGUCAAUGGACGCAAGUCUGAACCAGCCAUGCCGCGUGGAGGAUGAAGGUCCUCUGGAUUGUAAACUUCUUUUAUAUGGGACGAAAAAAGGCUUUUCUAAGUCGUCUGACGGUACCAUAUGAAUAAGCACCGGCUAACUCCGUGCCAGCAGCCGCGGUAAUACGGAGGGUGCAAGCGUUAUCCGGAUUCACUGGGUUUAAAGGGUGCGUAGGUGGGUUGGUAAGUCAGUGGUGAAAUCCCCGAGCUUAACUUGGGAACUGCCAUUGAUACUAUCAGUCUUGAAUACCGUGGAGGUUAGCGGAAUAUGUCAUGUAGCGGUGAAAUGCUUAGAUAUGACAUAGAACACCAAUUGCGAAGGCAGCUGGCUACACGAA
rnacentral:rRNA from 1 species